AGGUAGUGUAGUUGAUUAAGCACAACCAUUUAGGGGAUCUUGCCAUUUUGUUGCUCCUGCCUUUUGUCUGAAGUGGAGCAAGAAAGAAGUCACUAUUUCUCAACCUCUGCACCUGACAGAGAGGGCAAGAUGCAGCUGACAGGCUACGAGGAUUGAAGCAGCUACCCAAUGCUUAUCUACCAGUGUGUUUUGUGGGUACAACACCCUCCAAAUAGGCGCCUGAAAUUUCGUUGGGAUGUUUGUCACUUUUGCCUAGCGAUAAUCUAACUUCGGAAUGUUUAAGUUUCACUAUAAAGAGUCAAAGACUGGUAAAGUCUGGGUCUGCAUGCCCCUCCCUCAUCACUAGGUGUGAUCACUAGUAAUGUAGUAUUGAUGCUACUCAAUAUACUCUCUGGGGUAAUGUUACAGUUUGGAGAUUUGGCAUAUCAAUAUAUUAUGUAUGCAAUUUGUUGCUUCCUUUAGUGUUA